AUGUCUCAGGAGAGGCCCACGUUCUACCGGCAGGAGCUGAACAAGACAAUCUGGGAGGUGCCCGAGCGUUACCAGAACCUGUCUCCAGUGGGCUCCGGCGCCUAUGGCUCUGUGUGUGCUGCUUUUGACACAAAAACGGGGUUACGUGUGGCAGUGAAGAAGCUCUCCAGACCAUUUCAGUCCAUCAUUCAUGCCAAAAGAACCUACAGAGAACUGCGGUUACUUAAACAUAUGAAACAUGAAAAUGUGAUUGGUCUGUUGGAUGUUUUUACACCUGCAAGGUCUCUGGAGGAAUUCAGUGAUGUGUAUUUGGUGACCCAUCUCAUGGGGGCAGAUCUGAACAACAUUGUGAAAUGUCAGAAGCUCACAGAUGACCAUGUUCAGUUCCUUAUCUACCAAAUUCUCCGAGGUCUAAAGUAUAUACAUUCAGCUGACAUAAUUCACAGGGACCUAAAACCUAGUAAUCUAGCUGUGAAUGAAGACUGUGAGCUGAAGAUUCUGGAUUUUGGACUGGCUCGGCACACAGAUGAUGAAAUGACAGGCUACGUGGCCACUAGGUGGUACAGGGCUCCUGAGAUCAUGCUGAACUGGAUGCAUUACAACCAGACAGUUGAUAUUUGGUCAGUGGGAUGCAUAAUGGCCGAGCUGUUGACUGGAAGAACAUUGUUUCCUGGUACAGACCAUAUUGAUCAGUUGAAGCUCAUUUUAAGACUCGUUGGAACCCCAGGGGCUGAGCUUUUGAAGAAAAUCUCCUCAGAGUCUGUGAGUUGAUGCUUUGUAAUUAUCUGCCCUGUUGGGAGCCUCUGCCACUUACCUUCUACCAAUCUGUACUUUGACCUGGGUAUGUUUGUAAGCAUACAUGCCCUUUGUGUGCUGACUUACGGGAUGAGUGAGGUGUAAGACAGUGUGAGUGUGUGUGUGCGUGCACGCAUGUGUGCCUGCUUGCAUGCACAAUGUGUUUUUUCUCUAUCUGGGUACACACUAAGAUCAUGGGAGCCUCCAUUAGACAAUAGUAUCCCAGUAAAGCAAUGAGAUUUGAGAUUCUGAUUCAUUCCAAGAGAUUAAUGCAAAAUUUGUGUCUCUGUCCUCAAGCCCUGACUUUCUUCUUUCUCGGAAGUUUCACGUAUGCUCUAGAGCUCUUUUCACUGUUUCUAGUGUUUGUUUUCAGAGCAUGAGCUUCACCAUGUAUUUAGUUUAACUUAAUCACUAAAAGAAUAAAAUGUACAUUGUCUGCACACUGUUGCCCCUUCCCAUAAGUUAUUUUUUGUUGUUUUAGAAUAGAUACUCACAUAUCCUAUGUAAAAUGUUUGUUCCCAACAGAGGGACCUUUCUACCCAGUCCCUAGACCCCACUCAGAAGAAACAACUUCACUCCUGAUACCUCAGAUACACAGGAACAUGGUUAUAAAUUUUCCUCCUAUUGCCUUGUAAUUAUAAGUUAAAUAACCUGAGACAGAGUUUGGAACUAGUGCUCUCUUGCUUCUAAGCAGGGACUUAGACAGAAGCCAUGGGAAUGUGACUCUGGCUUACUUUUGCUAUGAUUUCCUGCUCUUGGUCAUUUUCUUGGGCCAGAGGCAUGAGAGAAGCCAUGAAAGCCCAGCUUUUCUUCCUUUUUCCCUCGAUCUGCCGCCAGGCAGUUGAACAAAAGAAAAAAGGAGCUAUGGAGCCAAGCUCCAGUUAUGCCUUCCUGGAUUCUCCUCCCAACAUUUAUGACUGAAGGGGCCCUUUGCCCAGUUGGGAAGACGACUGGGUAGCUUGAGGCAAGCAUAAGCAGGUGAGUUGGAACCGUUCGUCAUCUUCCUGACAAAAUAAAGAAUACCAUCAUCUGGUAUGUAUCUGGUACAUUUCUUGAAAGGAUCCCAAAGCCCAGUGUAUUUCUGAACCUCCACUCUGAAUUUAUUUCAUUUACUUAUUUAAGAUAAAGAAGCAAAGCCCAGAAGGGCAGUGACUUUUCCACGUCAUGCACUGAAUCACGUGGCAGAGCUGAGUAUAGAUCUCAGAUGUUCUGAUAGCAUGAUCCAAACUAUAAUCCCAUGUGAUUACACACUAUUUUGAAAGUCAUUGUCAGUGUUACCACAAUGUCAACCUAAAGAGAUAUUUUUUUCCCCUUUAUGAUAUGUAGAAGCUGGAUUAGAGUGAAUCAAAGAUAUCAGGUGAUGCUUAGAAAGAGCAGUACUUUUUUUUUUUAAUUAAUGUUUUUGCUUAGAAACACUGUCUUACAGUAAGAGGACCUAAGGGCAGAGGGAGGAGCUCAAUUAAUAAAUAGUGCUAAUGAGACCAAGCAAAUUCAUUUCCUUCCUGAGAGUGUCUCCUAGCAGCCCUUUCUUAGUCUUCUCUUCCAUCCCAACCAUGUGCCCUAUAGAUAGGUGCUAUUAGUCAUUUGGAAUUGGAUUAGGAAUUCAAACCAAAGUCUAGGUAAAAUAGUCGAUAGUAUUUAUCUGUCAUUAAUCCAUCACUUAUUUUUAAGAAAGAAACACUGAGUGCACAGCCUAAUAAUGGAGGUCCCUCUGUGAAAUGAGGCACAUUAUACAUUUCAACAGCUCUACUGAAAUUGAGUACCGGAAUACGGAACUUAACUCAAAUAAUAUUAUAUUGAGUAUAAGAAAAAGAAAGGUUUUGUUUGUUUGUUUGUUUGUUUCCUACAUAAUUGGGGCAAGUGGAUAAAAGUAGUUUAAACAUCCUAGGGGGUAGACAAGAUUAAUUUGAUGUUCAUGACACAGCCCAAGUACCUGUUUAUCUUAAAAGCACAUGAUGUAUGGGAA
rnacentral:sRNA from 1 species